rnacentral:tRNA from 1 species
UUAGUCGAAACCAAAAUAGAGGUAUAUCACUGUUAAUGAUAUUAAUGAACAAAAGUUCCGUCUAAG